rnacentral:rRNA from 1 species
AACGAACGCUGGCGGCAGGCCUAACACAUGCAAGUCGAACGCCCGUAGCAAUACGGGAGUGGCGGACGGGAGAGAAACGCGGUGGUAUCUACCUAGCAGUACGGAAUAACCGCGGGAAACCGCGGCUAAUACCGUAUACGCCCUAAGGGGGAAAGAUUUAUCGCUGCUAGAUGAGCCCGCGUCCGAUUAGCUAGUUGGCGGGGUAAUGGCCUACCAAGGCUAUGAUCCGUAGCUGGUCUGAGAGGACGAUCAGCCUCACUGGGACUGAGACACGGCCCAGACUCCUACGGGAGGCAGCAGUGGGGAAUAUUGGACAAUGGGGGAAACCCUGAUCCAGCCAUGCCGCGUGGGUGAUGAAGGCCUUCGGGUUGUAAAGCCCUUUUGGCGGGGACGAUAAUGACGGUACCCGCAAAAUAAGCCCCGGCUAACUUCGUGCCAGCCGCCGCAGUAAAAC